rnacentral:rRNA from 1 species
UACGUAGGUGGCAAGCGUUGUCCGGAAUUAUUGGGCGUAAAGGGCGCGUAGGUGGCGACCCAAGUCUGUGGUGAAAGCUCGCCGCUUAACGGCGAGUCGGCCACGGAUACUGGGUGGCUCGAGCACUGUAGGGGCAGAUGGAAUUCCGGGUGUAGCGGUGGAAUGCGUAGAGAUCCGGAAGAACACCGGUGGCGAAGGCGGUCUGCUGGGCAGUAGCUGACACUGAGGCGCGACAGCGUGGGGAGCAAACAGG